UAAGUAUAAGCAAUUAUACCGCGAAACUGCGAAUGGCUCAUUAAAUCAGUUAUCGUCUAUUUGAUAGUACCUUACUACUUGGAUAACCGUGGUAAUUCUAGAGCUAAUACAUGCUGAAAACCCCGACUUCGGAAGGGAUGUAUUUAUUAGAUUAAAAGCCAAUGCCCUUCGGGGCUCCCUGGUGAUUCAUAAUAACUGCUCGAAUCGCACGGCCUUGCGCCGGCGAUGGUUCAUUCAAAUUUCUGCCCUAUCAACUUUCGACGGCUGGGUCUUGGCCAGCCGUGGUGACAACGGGUAACGGAGGGUUAGGGCUCGACCCCGGAGAAGGAGCCUGAGAAACGGCUACUACAUCCAAGGAAGGCAGCAGGCGCGCAAAUUACCCAAUCCCGACUCGGGGAGGUAGUGACAAUAAAUACUGAUACAGGGCUCUUUUGGGUCUUGUAAUUGGAAUGAGUACAAUUUAAUUCCCUUAACGAGGAACAAUUGGAGGGCAAGUCUGGUGCCAGCAGCCGCGGUAAUUCCAGCUCCAAUAGCGUAUAUUAAAGUUGUUGCAGUUAAAAAGCUCGUAGUUGAACCUUGCGGCCUGGCUGGCCGGUCCGCCUCACCGCGUGCACUGGUCCGGCCGGGCCUUUCCCUCUGGGGAGCCGCAUGCCCUUCACUGGGCGUGUCGGGGAACCAGGACUUUUACUUUGAAAAAAUUAGAGUGUUCAAAGCAGGCUUAUGCUCGAAUACAUUAGCAUGGAAUAAUAGAAUAGGACGCGUGGUUCUAUUUUGUUGGUUUCUAGGACCGCCGUAAUGAUUAAUAGGGACAGUCGGGGGCAUCAGUAUUCAGUUGCGAGAGGUGAAAUUCUUGGACCAACUGAAGACUAACUACUGCGAAAGCAUUUGCCAAGGAUGUUUUCAUUAAUCAGGAACGAAAGUUAGGGGAUCGAAGACGAUCAGAUACCGUCGUAGUCUUAACCAUAAACUAUGCCGACUAGGGAUCGGGCGGUGUUAUCUUUUGACCCGCUCGGCACCUUGCACGAAAGUACAAGUUUCUGGGUUCUGGGGGGAGUAUGGUCGCAAGGCUGAAACUUAAAGAAAUUGACGGAAGGGCACCACCAGGGGUGGAGCCUGCGGCUUAAUUUGACUCAACACGGGGAAACUCACCAGGUCCAGACACGAUGAGGAUUGACAGAUUGAGAGCUCUUUCUUGAUUUCGUGGGUGGUGGUGCAUGGCCGUUCUUAGUUGGUGGAGUGAUUUGUCUGCCUAAUCGCGAUAACGAACGAGACCUUAACCUGCUAAAUAGCCCGCGCUGCCCCGGCAGCGCGCCGGCUUCUUAGAGGGACUAUCGGCUCA
rnacentral:rRNA from 2 species